rnacentral:snRNA from 1 species
GCUCCCUUCAGCAGCACAUACUAAAAUUGGAAUGAUAUGGAGAACAUUAGCAUGGCCUAUGUGCAAGGAUCAUAGGCAAAUUUGUGAAGUGAUCCAAGUGGAA